rnacentral:lncRNA from 7 species
CGAGCGCUUACAUGCCAAGAAGCGUGUGCACAUAGGAAUGAAUCAUGGGGGACCCGGUGUGAGGGGAAGCCAGGAAGGGGGCUUACUCUAUAGCAGCCGAAUCAAACGAAGACAACGAGCGGUGGGAGGAUGAUGGCAAGGAGGAUCUCCAGGAAGGUGCAGCAGCGACCAUCGUCAUCAGGAUCUCCAGGAAAGUGCAGCAGCGGUUGUCCACCAUCGGGAUCCUUGUGGUCGGGGCCCUGCCAUGGGGAUCAGACCGCAUGCGGGUGCACAGAUCAGAGGGCUAGCGUGCGAGGACGAUGCAGGAUGCAGGUUCUGGGAGCCAAGAUCUGUGGGAGAGGCAGCGGGCUGGUGAUGGGAGGAUGAGGUGGCUAGCGAGGUCGGUGGCGAUGGGAGG